ACCCCGCUGGACUUAAGCAUAUCAAUAAGCGGAGGAAAAGAAACUAACAAGGAUUCCCCUAGUAACUGCGAGUGAACAGGGAAGAGCUCAAAUUUUGAAUCUGGCAGUCUUUCGGCUGUCCGAGUUGUAAUCUAGAGAAGCGUCUUCCGCGUUGGACCGUGUACAAGUCUCCUGGAAGGGAGCGUCAUAGAGGGUGAGAAUCCCGUCUUUGACACGGACGCCCAGUGCUAUGUGAUGCGCUCUCGACGAGUCGAGUUGUUUGGGAAUGCAGCUCAAAUAGGGUGGUAAAUUCCAUCUAAAGCUAAAUAUAGGCGAGAGACCGAUAGCGAACAAGUACCGUGAGGGAAAGACGAAAAGAACUUUGGAAAGAGAGUUAAACAGUACGUGAAAUUGCUGAAAGGGAAACGCUUGAUGUCAGUCGCGUCGGCCGGGGAUCAACCUUGCUUCAUCGCUCGGUGCACUUCCUGGUCGAUGGGUCAGCAUCAGUUUCGUGCUCGCCGUACAAGGGCGGAGGGAACGUGGCACUCUUCGGAGUGUGUUAUAGCCCUUCGUCGUAUGCGGCGGUCGGGACUGAGGAACUCGGCACGGGCUUCGGCCUUGUGCUUAGGAUGCUGGCAUAAUGGCCUUAAGCGACCCGUCUUGAAACACGGA
rnacentral:rRNA from 1 species